UACAGAGGGUGCGAGCGUUGUCCGGAAUCACUGGGCGUAAAGGGCGCGUAGGUGGUGGCUUAAGCGUGCGGUGAAAGCUCGGGGCUCAACUCCGAGUCGGCCGUGCGAACUGGGCUCACUGGAGCAUAGUAGAGGCAGGUGGAAUUCCGGGUGUAGCGGUGGAAUGCGUAGAGAUCCGGAAGAACACCGGUGGCGAAGGCGGCCUGCUGGGCUAUGGCUGACACUGAGGCGCGAAAGCGUGGGGAGCGAACAGG
rnacentral:rRNA from 1 species